CCUACGGGUGGCUGCAGUAAGGAAUAUUGCGCAAUGGGCGACAGCCUGACGCAGCGACGCCGCGUGGGGGAUGAAGGUCUUCGGAUUGUAAACCCCUUUCGGGAGGGAAGAUGGGGCGGGAAACCGCUCGGACGGUACCUCCAGAAGCAGCCACGGCCAACUCCGUGCCAGCAGCCGCGGUAAUACGAAGGUGGCAAGCGUGGUUCGGAUUCACUGGGCGUACAGGGAGGCGAGGCGGUUAGGCAGCUGUUAAAGCUUCGGGCCCAACCCGGAAAGCGCAGAGGGGACUGCCAGGCUAGAGGACGGGAGAGGAGCGCGGAAUUCCCGGUGUAGCGGUGAAAUGCGUAGAGAUCGGGAGGAAGGCCGGUGGCGAAGGCGGCGCUCUGGAACGUACCUGACGCUGAGACACGAAAGCGUGGGGAGCAAACAGGAUUAGAUACCCCUGUAGUC
rnacentral:rRNA from 1 species